ACCUCUCUGAAUACGUGCAGAGAUCACAUCACAUACCAGCUCAUUAGGACUGAUGAAACUCCAAAGAUCAGUGAACGG
rnacentral:pre_miRNA from 1 species